GGGGAUUUAGCUCAGUGGUAGAGCGCUUGCCUAGCAAACAAAAGGCCCUGGGUUCGGUCCCCAGCUCCA
rnacentral:tRNA from 1 species